rnacentral:tRNA from 1 species
GCGUUGAAAAAUAACGGUUUACGCUCGACUGUUAAUCGAGCGGCCGUAGGUUCGAAUCCUACUCAGGGAGCCA